AACCUGGUUGAUCCUGCCAGUAGUCAUAUGCUUGUCUCAAAGAUUAAGCCAUGCAUGUCUAAGUAUAAGCGACUUGUACUGUGAAACUGCGAAUGGCUCAUUAAAUCAGUUAUGGUUUCUUUGAUGGUACCCUGCUACUUGGAUACCCGUAGUAAUUCUAGAGCUAAUACAUGCAGGAAUUCCCGACUUCGGAAGGGAUGUAUUUAUUAGAUAAGAAACCAUCUCGGGUUCGCCCGGUUGUGUGCUGAGUCAUAAUAACUGCUCGAAUCGUAUGGCUCUACGCCGUCGAUGGUUCAUUCAAAUUUCUGCCCUAUCAGCUUUCGAUGGUAGGAUAGAGGCCUACCAUGGCGUUAACGGGUAACGGAGAAUUAGGGUUCGAUUCCGGAGAGGGAGCCUGAGAAAUGGCUACCACAUCCAAGGAAGGCAGCAGGCGCGUAAAUUGCCCGAAUCCUGACACAGGGAGGUAGUGACAAGAAAUAAC
rnacentral:rRNA from 1 species